AGGAUUAACGCUGGCGGCGUGCCUAACACAUGCAAGUCGAACGAGGUAGCAAUACCUAGUGGCAGACGGGUGAGUAACGCGUGGUCAACCGACCGUUGAGUGGGGGAUAACUAGCCGAAAGGCUAGCUAAUACCGCAUACGUCUCCGAGGGGCAUCCUUCGGCGAUAAAAGGAGCAAUCCGCUCGAUGACGGGACCGCGUCCCAUUAGCUAGAUGGUGGGGUAACGGCCUACCAUGGCACCGAUGGGUAGCUGGUUUGAGAGAGCGACCAGCCACACUGGGACUGAGACACGGCCCAGACUCCUACGGGAGGCAGCAGUGAGGAAUUUUCCGCAAUGGGCGAAAGCCUGACGGAGCGACGCCGCGUGUGGGAAGAAGGCCUUAGGGUCGUAAACCACUGUCGAAGGGGACGAUAAUGACGGUACCCUUGGAGGAAGCCCCGGCUAACUACGUGCCAGCAGCCGC
rnacentral:rRNA from 1 species